rnacentral:lncRNA from 1 species
CGCAAGAUGCAGAUGAGGGUGUGUGCUUCUACUUAGCUCCUCUUGCUCUUAAGAGAAUGCCUGGGGCCUUUAAUAAAUGCCUUGUGCUUGGGCAGUAGACAGAUGGUUAGAAGGGGCACCUGCGGAUGCCAGGCAGCUGGCUUCAAACUCCAGCUUUGCCAAUGACUGGCUGUGUGACGUGGGCAGGUCCUAGCAACCCUCUCCUCUGCAUCAUCUAUCAAUUGGGAGGAAGAUGCUCGAACUGACCAUGUGGCUUGUUGAGAGGCCUGGGCGGCCGACCUGAGUGAGUGUGUGAGUGAGCAGCACUCAGCCUAUCUUCUCUUGUUAUCCUCUGGCGUCUUCUCCUGCUGCCUCCUCUAGCUUCCUGUUUUUCAGCUAUGCCAAGUCUCUCUCCGCUCCUCCAGGCUCGCUCCUAUGGCAGGGUCUUCGCACCCGCUGUUUCCUCCUCCAUGCCUUGCCCCUUCCCCCAGUUACAGAAGGGACCGUGAAGUCCCCUUGGCUUCCCCAUCAACAGCCCUGAUUGAUGCUUAAAUAAGAACAGAUUCUUCUCUGCCCCCAAAUAAAGAGUGACUCUCUCCCUACCCAGAGUCUCUGAACCCACCAUCUGUGGACUUGGCUAAACCUGUGCCAAGGAUCAUGGCAGGCUGACAGCAGGUCGUCUCUGGAGAGGAACCUGGGAAGUAUCAACAUCUCCAGAGGAGCAGGGCUCUCGGAGGGGGAAAGGGCCUCACGUGGAGGUGGCAGAAACACUUGCGGCCUUAGGAUCCAACCCAGGACACCCACCUUUGGCUGGCUCAUUGACUAUCUGAUCACAGAGUCCAUUUAGGAGGGUCCAUGGAAGAAGCUGCUCUUGAGUUUUAAGUCCAGGGAAAAGCAAAUCAUCACUGGAGGAAUCAAAUUGUUUUUACUGUAUGGACAUUGUAAAAUCUGUAAAAACCAACCUCUCUAACCAGGGUGCAGGUUCCCUAAGCGGAAAUGCAGCUAUCAAACUUGGACACAAUACAGGGGGCAGCUAUUUGAGGACUCUGAGAAGUAAGAGUAGCAGGCAGAUUCAAGAAGAGCAAAAUGUAAAAUAUCACUGAACUGAGGGGAAAUUAAAACUUACCUUCGCAUUAAAACCUGUACACAAAUGUUGAAAGCACUUCUACGCAUAAUUGCCAAAAGCUGAAAACAAUGCAAAUUUCCUUCAGUGGGUAAAUGCAUAAACCAACUGUGGUUUAGCCAUACAAUGGAAUAGUACUCAACAAAAU